rnacentral:ncRNA from 1 species
UGACCUCGGAUCAGGUAGGAAUACCCGCUGAACUUAAGCAUAUCAAUAAGCGGAGGAAAAGAAACCAACAGGGAUUGCCCU